rnacentral:rRNA from 1 species
UACGGAGGGAGCUAGCGUUGUUCGGAAUUACUGGGCGUAAAGCGCACGUAGGCGGCUUUUUAAGUCAGAGGUGAAAUCCCGGGGCUCAACCCCGGAACUGCCUUUGAAACUGGAGAGCUAGUGGCUAGUAAGGGAAAACAGAAUUCCACGUGUAGCGGUGAAAUGCGUAGAUAUGUGGAAGAAUACCGGUGGUGAAGACGGUUUUCUGUGCUAAGCCAGACGCUGAGGCGCGAAAGCUAGGGGAGCAAACAGG